CCACGGCAGUGCGAACGCCCAUCUAGGCUCACCAGGCCGGGCCACACCGCGGGCCCGCCCCGCGGGCACACGCUUCCUUCCUGUCCGCGCCCGAGCUGCGGGCGGGCGGCGCCCCGGCCUGGGGCCCGCGUCACGCCGGGGCCUCAAUAAAGGGCUUUGUGGUGCCGGCCCCGCCCGCGAGGGGUCGGGGCGCCGGGCUUGGGAUGCGCGCCCCGCGAGGUCCCGUCGGACACAGGCCCCCCUGGUGAGACAGCCAGGACCGGGACCACGCUUGACGGAACAAAGGCCACGAGCCAAAGACAGGGCUGAGAAGAAAUCAGGACCCAGGGAGAGGAUGUGAUGAGUCCAGGGCCACACUGAGAGAGAUCAGACAGCCUGUGAUUUCACCAUAUGGGAACUCCUUUUCUUGCAUAUGUAGAUAAUUCCUGACAAUUGUGUUUAGUUAUUUCCUGUGUGACUCACUUUGAACAAAUCUGGUGGAAGUUAUGGUGUAUGACUUUUGAGACUAGGUCAUAAAAAGUAUUGUGGCUUCCUUCUUGCUGUCUCUCUUGGAUCACUAACCCUGGAAGAGGCCAAUUGCCAUGUUGGAAGGACACCAAAGCCACCUUAUGGAGAAAUUCACAUGCAAAGGAAUUGAGGCCUCUGGCCAACAACUGGUGAGGUGGCCUCUUGCUACCAACAAUGUGAGUGCACAAUCUUGGAAGCAGAUCUUCCAUGGCUCGCUCACGCCUUCCGAUGACUGCAGCUCCAGCAGAUAGCCCCAGCUGAUAUCUUGACUGAAGCUUCACGGGAGACCCCGGGCCAGAACCACCUAGCCAAGUCACUCCAGAAUUCCUGGCCCUGAGACAAUAUAAGAUGUUUGUCAUUUUAAGCUCACAACCUUUGGGGUAAUUGUUACACAGCAAUUGAUAACUAAUAAUACUAUUAAAUGUCUUAUUGUGGAAGAAAUGUUUUACAUAGAGGAAAAUAGCCAUAUUUUUACAGUUGGGAUUAAUAAUUUGAUAAAAAAUGAAUAAAACACUUUAUGCUUUACCAUUUACUGGGCAGCUGAUUUUGCUAAAUCUCAUCCAGGACCAGUUAAGAUCCUUAAAAACUGUCAACACAGAAAAUAUAUGGUAGCCACCCUCCCCCACAGGUAUUUAAAAACAAG
rnacentral:lncRNA from 1 species